UACAGAGGUCUCAAGCGAUUUGUUCGGAUUCAUUGGGCGUAAAGGGUGCGUAGGCGGCGCGGUAAGUCGGGUGUGAAAUCUUGGAGCUUAACUCCGAAACUGCAUUCGAUACUGCCGUGCUUGAGGACUGGAGAGGAGACUGGAAUUUACGGUGUAGCGGUGAAAUGCGUAGAUAUCGUAAGGAAGACCAGUGGCGAAGGCGGGUCUCUGGGACAGUUCCUGACGCUGGAGGCAACGAAGGCCAGGGGUAGCAAACGGG
rnacentral:rRNA from 1 species